UACGUAGGGUGCAAGCGUUAAUCGGAAUUACUGGGCGUAAAGCGUGCGCAGGCGGUUUUGUAAGUCUGACGUGAAAUCCCCGGGCUCAACCUGGGAAUUGCGUUGGAGACUGCAAGGCUAGAGUUUGGCAGAGGGGGGUAGAAUUCCACGUGUAGCAGUGAAAUGCGUAGAUAUGUGGAGGAACACCGAUGGCGAAGGCAGCCCCUGGGUCAAGACUGACGCUCAUGCACGAAAGCGUGGGGAGCAAACAGGAUUG
rnacentral:rRNA from 1 species